rnacentral:rRNA from 1 species
GAGACAGCAGUCGCCGCGGGUAAUACGGAGGGUGCAAGCGUUAAUCGGAAUUACUGGGCGUAAAGCGCACGCAGGCGGUCUGACAAGUCAGAUGUGAAAUCCCCGGGCUUAACCUGGGAACUGCAUUUGAAACUGUCAGGCUGGAGUCUUGUAGAGGGGGGUGGAAUUCCAGGUGUAGCGGUGAAAUGCGUAGAGAUCUGGAGGAAUACCGGUGGCGAAGGCGGCCCCCUGGACAAAGACUGACGCUCAGGUGCGAAAGCGUGGGGAGCAAACAGGAUUAGAUACCCGAGUAGUCCCUGUCUCUUAUA